rnacentral:ncRNA from 1 species
GCAAAAUCAAUGAAUAGGAGUACUAGCAAAUCCCCUAUAUUUAGAGAGUCAGUGGGUGGUGCAAACUGAUUAUAGUAUUUGUGAACUCGCCUAUGAGAUGUAUUUUUGAAUAAAGUAAAAAAUAUCGUAGAACUGCGUUAAAGUUUUGAGGUGCUAGAAUUUUAUUCUAGAACUAAGGUGGUAUCGCGUUGAAAUUGGCGUCCUUAGA